rnacentral:rRNA from 1 species
UACCAGAGUACUAUGAAUAUUGUAAUUUAAAACUCAAAGAACUUGGCGGUGUUUUNNACCAUUUAGGGGAACCUGUCUCGUAAUCGACAGUCCACGAUAUACCUGACCUUUUUUUGUUUUUCAGUUUGUAUACCGUUGUCGUCAGGUAACUUUUUAGAAAAUAGAAGUUGGCUUGAAAAAUAAGAUAAUUUAAUACGUCAAAUCAAGGUGCAGCUAAUAAAAAGGGGAGGAUGGGUUACAAUUAUGAAUUUAUAAUUACGAAUAAUCAUAUGUAAAUGUGAUUUGUGAAGGAGGACUUAAAAGUAAAUUAAAUUAUAAAAAUAAUUUGAAUGAGGCUCUGAAACGUGU